UUGAAAACCGGACCGGACCGGCCGGUUCGACCGGUUCAACCGCGAACCGGCGCCUUGUCCGGUCCGGUUAUAGGUGAAAACCCAAAAAAGCCAAAAACCCGGGUCAACUACCCCAAACCCGGUUCGACCAGUAAGAACCGGGAAACCCGGGAACCAGUCCAAGAACCGGUUUUUUGCUCAAAAGCAUGUUUCAUGGCCGGAUCUGGUUCGAAAUUGCUCGUGGGUCACUGAAUCUUGUCGGAGAAGGUUGUGGGUGAUUAGAUCUAGGCAGAUUUGGGUCGUAUUUUGCUCAAUCGAAGUGGUGGCUACCAUAUCUAUUGAUUGAAGAAAAGAAGAGGAAUAAGGUGAAAAAGAAAAUAAAGAGAAAAAUGAAAAAAAUUAAAGUGGGAAAAACAAAGUAUAU
rnacentral:lncRNA from 1 species